AGCUUUGCGCAGUGGCGAUAUCGUAACCAAUGAGGUUUUACCGAGGUGCGAUUAUUACUAGUUGAAAAAAAAAGAGAUGACAUUGUACUUCUGUACUUCGCAGAGAGACAAGAUAUCUCACAGUGUGGUGAAUUUAGGAGA